CUUUAAAAUCGAAGAGUCUAAC
rnacentral:snRNA from 1 species